rnacentral:rRNA from 1 species
UACAGAGAGUGCAAACGUUGUUCGGAAUUACUGGGCUUAAAGCGCACGUAGGCGGCAUCGCAAGUGUCAGGUGAAAUCCCACGGCUUACCCGUGGAACUGCUUGGCAUACUGCGAAGCUAGAGUGUGGUAGGGGAGAGCGGAACUCCUGGUGGAGCGGUGAAAUGCGUAGAUAUCAGGAGGAACACCGGUGGCGAAGGCGGCUCUCUGGUCCACAACUGACGCUGAGGUGCGAAAGCUAGGGGAGCAAACGGG